rnacentral:lncRNA from 1 species
AGAAAAGGUAAGGCAAGCCCAUUUGUACUUGUACCAUUUGCUUAUUUAUUUAUACAUAUUUGUUCAGAAAGAUAAAAAACAGACAGGAGCCUACACUUUACCGUAGAAUACUAGGCAGCCAGUGACACAAGAAUAGACUCAAGAACAGCAAGUGGCCACUAAUGUAAUGAUAAAAUUGAUUCACAAAUCAUUUAUUGUCUAGAACACCUGCCAUCAAGUGUUUGCAUUCCUUUACUGUCCAAUAUUAAAUUGGAUAAACCUUUGCUGUACAAUAAAUUAUAUACAGAUGCGUAAUUUUAAACAACGAACACGUGUAGAUUGGUUAAACUUUUCCAUACUGCUGUGAGUUGGCUGUCAGUGGGCAGUGGGAGCUUCCCACCAGUUUCAUUCGGGCUGUUGAAAAUCUCAUCCUUCAGUGGUCAUUUGCAGAUAGAUCUAAUGCUUCUCACCUGGUUUUGAAUAUCCUGUUUCAUUUCCAUUUCACCUUGCUUGCUCUGUACAAUACCACUUGUCUGAGAGGUAAUUUUCUGUCUAAUGGAAUACUAACUUUUAAAUAAUUUCAUUCAAAAAUUGACUUUUUUUUUCUUUUUCAGGUCAGUGAAAGGCAAAGAUCAGACAAAGGAAUGACAGAUCACAUCUAUUGCAAUACUCUUUGACAAACUAGUUAGAAAUUAUGAUUAGUAUUGCAUAAAGAAACUACUGUGACCAUAUUAUAAAUGAAGACAACGUGUUCCCUGUUCUCAAGAUUGUCUUUAUGAAACUGUCCAUGGGAUGACUACGUUAAAGAAGGAGAACUAGCAGGGAGAAAAGGAUGUGUGCUAGACACAAAGACUGUGCUUUGCCUUGUGUGAAGAACCCAACCAGUGUAACCUGGGACUGCCCUAGAAAAACCACGAAAGCCAUGAGAGCAGCCCUGAAAGUCCAGGAAUUGAACUCUGCCUCCGGCAAGACACAGGAGUGUAACAGGGACCCAAAGCAAAGCAAAAGACUAAAACCUGGGGAUAUUUUGAAUAACGAGAACAUCUGCAGAUUUUGA